GUUUGAUCCUGGCUCAGAACGAACGCUGGCGGCGUGCCUAACACAUGCAAGUCGAACGGGGUCAAUGCUGUAGCAAUACAGUGUUGACUUAGUGGCGGACGGGUGAGUAACACGUAGGUAACCUACCCUCAAGAGGGGGACAACUCAGGGAAACUUGAGCUAAUACCGCAUAAGACCACGGGUUGGGAUAUCUGUGGUAAAAGGAGCAAUCUACUUGGGGAUGGGCCUGCGGCCUAUCAGGUAGUUGGUAGGGUAAUGGCCUACCAAGCCAAAGACGGGUAGCCGGGCUGAGAGGUCGGACGGCCACACUGGGACUGAGAUACGGCCCAGACUCCUACGGGAGGCAGCAGUGGGGAAUAUUGCGCAAUGGGGGAAACCCUGACGCAGCGACGCCGCGUGGAGGAUGAAGGUCUUCGGGUUGUAAACUCCUUUUCUUAGGGAAAAUAAUGAUGGUACCUAAGGAAUAAGCCACGGCUAACUCUGUGCCAGCAGCCGCGGUAAGACAGAGGUGGCGAGCGUUGUUCGGAAUUACUGGGCUUAAAGGGCGAGUAGGCGGUGAGACAAGUCCGAGGUGGAAUCCUUUGGCUUAACCAGAGAACUGCCUUAGAUACUGUUUCACUUGAGUCAGUGAGGGGAGGGCGGAAUUCCCGGUGUAGCGGUGAAAUGCGUAGAUAUCGGGAGGAAGGCCAGUGGCGAAGGCGGCCCUCUGGUGCUGAACUGACGCUGAGGCGCGAAAGCGUGGGUAGCAAACAGGAUUAGAUACCCUGGUAGUCCACGCCCUAAACGGUGGGCAUUAGGUGUAGGGUCUGUAAAGGCUCUGUGCCGAAAGGGAAACCAUUAAAUGCCCCGCCUGGGGAGUACGGCCGCAAGGUUGAAACUC
rnacentral:rRNA from 1 species